AUUUAAAUAGUUUAAUAAAAAUAUUGAUUUGUGAUGUCAAAGAUGUAAAUUUUACUUUAAAUA
rnacentral:tRNA from 1 species